rnacentral:rRNA from 1 species
UACAGAGGUCUCGAGCGUUGUUCGGAUUCAUUGGGCGUAAAGGGCGCGUAGGCGGCGCGGUAAGUCGGGUGUGAAAUCUCGGGGCUUAACUCCGAAACUGCAUUCGAUACUGCCGUGCUUGAGGACUGGAGAGGAGACUGGAAUUUACGGUGUAGCGGUGAAAUGCGUAGAUAUCGUAAGGAAGACCAGUGGCGAAGGGCGGGGUC